UACGUAGGGACCGAGCGUUGUCCGGAAUCAUUGGGCGUAAAGAGCGUGUAGGCGGCCUUUUAAGUCCUGCGUGAAAUCCUGCGGCUCAACCGCAGACGGUCGUGGGAAACUGGAAGGCUAGAGUGCGGGAGAGGAGAGUGGAAUUCCCGGUGUAGCGGUGAAAUGCGCAGAUAUCGGGAAGAACACCCGUGGCGAAGGCGGCUCUCUGGAACGCAACUGACGCUAAGACUCGAAAGCAUGGGUAGCAAACAGG
rnacentral:rRNA from 1 species